GAUGAACGCUGGCGGUAUGCUUAACACAUGCAAGUCGAACGGUGUCUUCGGACACAGUGGCGGACGGGUGAGUAACGCGUGAGAAUCUAGCUUCAGGUCUGGGACAACCACUGGAAACGGUGGCUAAUACCGUAUACGUCCGUGAGGAGAAAGAUUUAUCGCCCUUAGACGGGCCCGCGUCGGAUUAGCUAGUUGGUGGG
rnacentral:rRNA from 1 species